rnacentral:rRNA from 1 species
AACGAACGCUGGCGGCAUGCCUAACACAUGCAAGUCGAACGAGACCUUCGGGUCUAGUGGCGCACGGGUUCGUAACGCGUGGGAACCUGCCCUUAGGUUCGGAAUAACUCCCCGAAAGGGGUGCUAAUACCGGAUAAUGUCUUCGGACCAAAGAUUUAUCGCCUUUGGAUGGGCCCGCGUUGGAUUAGCUAGUUGGUAGGGUAAAAGCCUACCCAGGCGACGAUCCAUAGCUGGUCUGAGAGGAUGAUCAGCCACACUGGGACUGAGACACGGCCCAGACUCAUACGGGAGGCAGCAGUGGGGAAUAUUGGAAAAUGGGCGAAAGCCUGAUCCAGCAAGGCCGCGUGAGUGAUGAAGGCCUUAGGGUUGUAAAGCUAUUUUAACCGGGAUGAUAAUGACAGUACCGGGAGAAUAAGCGCCGGCUAACUCCGUG